UGUGAGAAAAAGAAGAAUCAACACCUGUGAAAAUCAAUCAGGGGAUUUAAAUAAAACCUGGUAACCAGCAUGGACUAUAACUUAAGGAAAAUCAGCUUUAUUCACUAACCUCCACGAUGGAUUCUAUUGCAAAAGAAAACAGUCAGGAGAAUAGCAAUCAAUGCACUAAGAAGUCAUACUUCCUUAUGGAACUCACUUGAAAUAUAAACCAUUUAUAAAAACCAACAAAUUAUCAAAAGUAAAUAGCAAAGGCAUCAAGCACAUCCAAGCAUCAUAUAAUCACUUGCAAUUGCAAAAACUCAAGAAGACCAUGUAACUUCAGACAUCAACCUUUGGCAGUUAAAAUUUGGGUAGACACUUAUAAAACACUAUCUAAAAUUUCAAAAACAAAAUACGUGAAUAAAAUUCAUCACUGUUUUCUAAUCAUCAAAUCAAUUGAAUUCACAGCACCAGAAUGCCUGAACUUCUAAAUUUCAUUUCACAUCAUCAAAUAAUUUAAAUUAUUAGACUAAAAUACCAUCAAAUAUAUAAAUAAUGAAAAUCUUUAUAAAAAUUUGUCUAAAAGCCCAGUACAUUUUUUUUAUUCAUCAAAUCCAAA
rnacentral:misc_RNA from 1 species